rnacentral:rRNA from 1 species
GGUCAAGUUAUUAAGGGUGCAGGGCGGAUGCCUUGGCACUAGGAGCCGAUGAAGGACGUGAUAAGCUGCGAUAAGCUUCGGGGAGUUGCACGUAAACUUUGAUCCGAAGAUUUCCGAAUGAGGAAACUCACUUAGAGUAAUGUCUAAGUAUCAUUAAGUGAAUACAUAGCUUAAUGAGGGGAACUCAGGGAACUGAAACAUCUAAGUACCUGAAGGAAGAGAAAGAAAUUCGAUUCCGUAAGUAGCGGCGAGCGAACGCGGAUUAGCCCAUACCGCUAAAGUUUUCUUUAUUGGGGUUGCGGACAUAUCUCAACGAAGAGGUGUCGGAAUUGAAGAGGUUUGGAAAGAUCCACCACAGAAGGUAAUAGUCCUGUAUGUUAAACGAGAAGACUUCAGAUAUGAUCCAGAGUACCACGGGACACGUGAAACCCUGUGGGAAGCAGGAGGGACCACCCUCCAAGGCUAAAUACUACCUAGUGACCGAUAGCGUAUAGUACCGUGAGGGAAAGGUGAAAAGAACCCCGGGAGGGGAGUGAAAUAGAACCUGAAACCCUGCACUUACAAGCUGUGGAAGCACAUUUCUUGUGUGACCGCGUACUUUUUGUAGAACGGGCCAACGAGUUACGUUAAGUAGCAAGGUUAAGCACUUAAGGUGCGGAGCCGUAGCGAAAGCGAGUUUUAACUGAGCGUUCAGUUACUUGACGUAGACCCGAAACCGGGCGACCUACCCAUGAGCAGGAUGAAGCGAAAGUAAAAUUUCGUGGAGGUCCGAACCCACGAGCGUUGAAAAGCUCGGGGAUGACUUGUGGGUAGCGGUGAAAUUCCAAUCGAGCCCGGAGAUAGCUGGUUCUCCCCGAAAUAGCUUUAGGGCUAGCCUCAAGGUGAGAGAUACGGAGGUAGAGCACUGAAUGUCCUAGGGGGUAUUGCACCUACCGAAGACUAUCAAACUCCGAAUGCCGUCAUCUUAUACUUGGGAGUCAGACUGUGGGUGAUAAGAUUCAUAGUCGAAAGGGCAACAGCCCAGAUCGUCAGCUAAGGUCCCUAAAUGUAAGUUAAGUGGUAAAGGAUGUGGGAUUGCACAGACAACCAGGAUGUUGGCUUAGAAGCAGCCACUCAUUCAAAGAGUGCGUAAUAGCUCACUGGUCGAGUGAUCCUGCGCCGAAGAUUUCCGGGGCUAAAACUUACUACCGAAGCUACGGCAUCAGUAAUGAUGGGUAGGGGAGCUUCCCAUACGGGUUGAAGCAUGACCGUAAGGACAUGUGGACAGUAUGGGAGUGAGAAUGUUGGCAUGAGUAGCGAGAUGUGGGUGAGAAUCCCACAGGCCGUAAACCCAAGGUUUCCAGGGGAAGGUUCGUCCGCCCUGGGUUAGUCGGGACCUAAGCUGAGGCCGAAAGGCGUAGGUGAUGGACAACAGGUUGAUAUUCCUGUACUACCGAUAACCGUUUGAGAGAAGGGAUGACACAGUAGGAUAAGCUAAGCACACUGUUGGUUAUGUGUGCCCAAGCAUUGAGGCAGUCAAAGUAGGCAAAUCCGCUUUGAUAAUACUGGGAUGUGAUGGGGAGCGAAAUUUAGUAGCGAAGUAGCUGAUUUCACACUGUCAAGAAAAGUCUCUAUCGAGGUUAAAGGUACCCGUACCGCAAACCGACACAGGUGGGUGAGGAGAGUAUCCUAAGGCCAGCGAGAGAACUGUUGUUAAGGAACUCGGCAAAAUGACCCCGUAACUUAGGGAUAAGGGGUGCCACCAUCAGGUGGCCGCAGAGAAUAGGCCCAAGCGACUGUUUACCAAAAACAUAGGUUUCUGCUAAGUCGCAAGACGAUGUAUAGGAGCUGACGCCUGCCCGGUGCUGGAAGGUUAAGGGGAUCUGUUAGAGCAAUCGAAGCAGUGAACUUAAGCCCCAGUAAACGGCGGCCGUAACUAUAACGGUCCUAAGGUAGCGAAAUUCCUUGUCGGGUAAGUUCCGACCCGCACGAAAGGCGUAACGAUUUGGGCACUGUCUCAACAACAGACUCGGUGAAAUUGUAAUUCCGGUGAAGAUGCCGGAUACCUGCGACAGGACGGAAAGACCCCAUGGAGCUUUACUGUAGCUUGACAUUGGGUCUUGGUACUACAUGUACAGGAUAGGUGGGAGGCUUUGAAACCAGGACGCCAGUUUUGGCGGAGCCAUCCUUGGGAUACCACCCUUGUAGUACUGGGACUCUAACCAUAGGCCAUGAAUCUGGUCUUGGGACACUGUCAGGUGGGCAGUUUGACUGGGGCGGUCGCCUCCCAAAAGGUAACGGAGGCGCUCAAAGGUUCUCUCAGUACGGUCGGAAAUCGUACGUAGAGUGUAAAGGCAAAAGAGAGCUUGAUUGCAAGACAUACAGGUCGAGCAAGGAUGAAAAUCGGACUUAGUGAUCCGGUGGUUCUGCGUGGAAGGGCCAUCGCUCAACGGAUAAAAGCUACCCUGGGGAUAACAGGCUUAUCUCCCCCAAGAGUCCACAUCGACGGGGAGGUUUGGCACCUCGAUGUCGGCUCAUCACAUCCUGGGGCUGUAGUAGGUCCCAAGGGUUGGGCUGUUCGCCCAUUAAAGUGGUACGCGAGCUGGGUUCAGAACGUCGUGAGACAGUUCGGUCCCUAUCCGUCGCAGGCGUAGGAAAUUUGAGAAGACCUGUCCUUAGUACGAGAGGACCGGGAUGGACGUACCUCUGGUGUACCAGUUGUCCUGCCAAGGGCAUGGCUGGGUAGCUAUGUACGGAAUGGAUAAGCGCUGAAAGCAUCUAAGCGCGAAGCCAACUUCAAGAUAAGAUUUCCCACCGCAAGGGUAAGACUCCAGAAAGACUAUCUGGUUGAUAGGUCGAAGGUGUAAGUGCAGCAAUGUAUUUAGCUUAUCGAUACUAAUAGGUCGAGGACUUGACCAAUAUUUAUUUGAUGUUCAUUCAUUAAGAUAUAUGUGUAGUUUUUAGAGUGCUAACU